CAGCAGCCACGGGAAUACGUAGGUGGCAAGCGUUGUCCGGAAUUAUUGGGCGUAAAGGGCUCGCAGGCGGUUUCUUAAGUCUGAUGUGAAAGCCCCCGGCUCAACCGGGGAGGGUCAUUGGAAACUGGGAAACUUGAGUGCAGAAGAGGAGAGUGGAAUUCCACGUGUAGCGGUGAAAUGCGUAGAGAUGUGGAGGAACACCAGUGGCGAAGGCGACUCUCUGGUCUGUAACUGACGCUGAGGAGCGAAAGCGUGGGGAGCGAACAGGAUUAGAUACCCCGGUAGUCCUGUCUCUUAUACC
rnacentral:rRNA from 1 species